UCGGACAGACCUCUAUUUUUUCAUUUAUGGAAAAAUUUAAAGACCGAUCGGCGACGCUAUAGCUUUGGGUACUUUCAGGACCCGUCUUGAAACACGGACCAAGGAGUCUAGCAUGUGCGCAAGUCAUUGGGAACAUCACUAAACCUAAAGGCGUAAUGAAAGUGAAGGUCUUCCUCGCGAAGACCGAGGGAAGACGGACGAUCGCGCGCGAGAAAUCGCGCGUUUUCGUAUCGUCCUGCAUUCCCGGGGCGUCUCGUUCACAUCGCGUGAAGAGGCGCACCAAGAGCGUACACGCUGGGACCCGAAAGAUGGUGAACUAUGCCUGGUCAGGACGAAGUCAGGGGAAACCCUGAUGGAGGUCCGUAGCGAUUCUGACGUGCAAAUCGAUCGUCGGAACUGG
rnacentral:rRNA from 1 species